CACGUGGGUGGCGAGCGUUAUUCGGAUUUACUGGGCGUAAAGGGUCCGCAGGGGGCCUGCCACGCCUGCCGUGAAAUUCCAAGGCUCAACCUUGGACCUGCGGCGGGUACGGGCGGGCUAGAGUACAAGAAGGGCAGACGGAAUUCCAGGUGUAGCGGUGGAAUGCGUAGAUAUCUGGAAGAACACCGAUGGCGAAGGCGGUCUGCUGGCUUGUAACUGACCCUCAGGGACGAGAGCGUGGGUAGCAAACAGGAUUAGAUACCCUGGUAGUCCACGCCGUAAACGUUGUGUGCCAGAUGUGGGUGGGUUCGGCCCCAUCCGUGUCCAAGCUAACGCGGUAAGCACACCGCCUGGGGACUACGGCCGCAAGGCUAAA
rnacentral:rRNA from 1 species